rnacentral:tRNA from 1 species
GUCUGGGUGGCUCAGUCGGUUGAGCGGCUGACUUUGGCUCAGGUCAUGGUCUCAUGGUUCAUGGGUUCGAGCCCCAUGUCGGGCU